GCGUUGUUCGGAAUUACUGGGCGUAAAGCGUACGUAGGCGGUUUUGUAAGUUAGAGGUGAAAGCCCGGAGCUCAACUCCGGAAUUGCCUUUAAGACUGCAUCGCUUGAAUCAUGGAGAGGUGAGUGGAAUUCCGAGUGUAGAGGUGAAAUGCGUAGAUAUCUGGAGGAACACCGGUGGCGAAGGCGGCAUCCUGGACCGGUAUUGACGCUGAGGCGCGAAAGCGUGGGGAGCAAACAGG
rnacentral:rRNA from 1 species